CCAGCAGCCGCGGUAAUACGUAGGGCGCAAGCGUUAUCCGGAAUUAUUGGGCGUAAAGAGCUCGUAGGCGGUUUGUCGCGUCUGCCGUGAAAGUCCGGGGCUCAACUCCGGAUCUGCGGUGGGUACGGGCAGACUAGAGUGAUGUAGGGGAGACUGGAAUUCCUGGUGUAGCGGUGAAAUGCGCAGAUAUCAGGAGGAACACCGAUGGCGAAGGCAGGUCUCUGGGCAUUAACUGACGCUGAGGAGCGAAAGCAUGGGGAGCGAACAGGAUUAGAUACCCUGGUAGUCCAUGCCGUAAACGUUGGGCACUAGGUGUGGGGGACAUUCCACGUUUUCCGCGCCGUAGCUAACGCAUUAAGUGCCCCGCCUGGGGAGUACGGCCGCAAGGCUAAAACUCAAAGGAAUUGACGGGGGCCCGCACAAGCGGCGGAGCAUGCGGAUUAAUUCGAUGCAACGCGAAGAACCUUACCAAGGCUUGACAUGGACCGGACCGCCGCAGAAAUGUGGUUUCCCCUUUGGGGCCGGUUCACAGGUGGUGCAUGGUUGUCGUCAGCUCGUGUCGUGAGAUGUUGGGUUAAGUCCCGCAACGAGCGCAACCCUCGUUCCAUGUUGCCAGCGCGUAAUGGCGGGGACUCAUGGGAGACUGCCGGGGUCAACUCGGAGGAAGGUGGGGACGACGUCAAAUCAUCAUGCCCCUUAUGUCUUGGGCUUCACGCAUGCUACAAUGGCCGGUACAAAGGGUUGCGAUACUGUGAGGUGGAGCUAAUCCCAAAAAGCCGGUCUCAGUUCGGAUUGGGGUCUGCAACUCGACCCCAUGAAGUCGGAGUCGCUAGUAAUCGCAGAUCAGCAACGCUGCGGUGAAUACGUUCCCGGGCCUUGUACACACCGCCCGUCAAGUCACGAAAGUUGGUAACACCCGAAGCCGGUGGCCUAACCCCUUGUGGGAGGGAGCCGUCGAAGGUGGGACUGGCGAUUGGGACUAAGUCGUAACAAGGUAAC
rnacentral:rRNA from 1 species